CCCACUCUGGACUCAGAACAUUCAGUCAUGGAUAAAAAUGAGCUGGUUAAGAAGGCCAAACUGGCCAAGCAGGCUGAGCGAUAUGAUGACAUGGCAGCCUGCAUGAAGUCUGUAACAGAGCAAGGAGCUGAAUUAUCCAAUGAGGAGAGGAAUCUGCUCUCAGUUGCUUAUAAAAAUGUUGUAGGAACUCGUAGGUCAUCUUGGAGGGUCAUCUCAAGUAUUGAACAAAAGACGGAAGGUGCUGAGAAAAAACAGCAGAUGGCUCGAGAAUACAGAGAGAAAAUUGAAACGGAGCUAAGAGAUAUCUCCAAUGAUGUACUGUCUCUCUUGGAAAAGUUCUUGAUCUCCAGUGCUUCACAAGCAGAGAGCAAAGUCUUCUAUUUGAAAAUGAAAGGAGAUUACUACCGUUAUUUGGCUGAGGUUGCCGCUGGUGAUGACAAGAAAGGGAUUGUGGAUCAGUCACAACAAGCAUACCAAGAAGCUUUUGAAAUUAGCAAAAAGGAAAUCCAACCAACACAUCCUAUCAGACUGGGUCUGGCCCUUAACUUCUCUGUGUUCUGUAUGAGAUUCUGAACUCCCCAGAGAAAGCCUGCUCUCUUGCAAAGACAGCUUUUGAUGAAGCGAUUGCUGAACUUGAUACAUUAAGAGUCAUACAAAGACAGCACGCUAAUAAUGCAAUUACUGAGAGACAACUUAACAUUCUGGACAUCGGAUACCCAAGGAGAUGAAGCUGAAGCAGGAGAAGGAGGGGAAAAUUAACCGGCCUUCCAACUUUUGUCUGCCUCAUUCUAAAAUUUACACAGUAGACCAUUUGUCAUCCAUGCUGUCCCACAAAUAGUUUUUUG